rnacentral:rRNA from 1 species
CGGGACGGGUGAGUAAUGCUGGGAAACUGCCUGAUGGAGGGGGAUAACUACUGGAAACGGUAGCUAAUACCGCAUAACGUCGCAAGACCAAAGAGGGGGACCUUCGGGCCUCUGCCAUCGGAUGUGCCCAGAUGGGAUUAGCUAGUAGGUGGGGUAACGGCUCACCUAGGCGACGAUCCCUAGCUGGUCUGAGAGGAUGACCAGCCACACUGGAACUGAGACACGGUCCAG